UGCCAGCAGCCGCGGUAAAACGUAGGGGGCGAGCGUUGUCCGGAAUUAUUGGGCGUAAAGCGCGUGUAGGCGGAAGCUUAAGUCAGGUGUGAAAACUCGGGGCUCAACCCCGAGCCGGCAUCUGAAACUGGGUUUCUUGAGGACGGGAGAGGAAAGUGGAAUUCCUAGUGUAGCGGUGAAAUGCGUAGAUAUUAGGAGGAACACCAGUGGCGAAGGCGACUUUCUGGACCGUAACUGACGCUGAGACGCGAAAGCGUGGGGAGCAAACAGGAUUAGAUACCCUGGUAGUCCACGCCGUAAACGAUGGGUACUAGGUGUAGGAGGUAUCGACCCCUUCUGUGCCGCAGCUAACGCAUUAAGUACCCCGCCUGGGGAGUACGGCCGCAAGGUUGAAACUUAAAGGAAUUGGCGGGGGAC
rnacentral:rRNA from 1 species